UUUGAAGACGACUUUCCUAUCUCUAGCUGUCUAAGCUAAUUUUGAGGUACAAAUGGUAUGGGGUGAAAUGUGAUUUCACUAGCUUGGAUUCAACCCAGCUGUCCAGCCUGAUGCACCAGACUGUUUCGCUCUGUUAUUAAUUUACCUCAGGCCUGACCAUGGCUAUGCAAAGGUUCCUGUUUGUGAGAGGCUGGAGCAGCCAAGCUUUGCAAAGCUCAAACUAAGCUGGGAUGCGAUCAACCGAAGGAGGAGUCCCAUUGUGGUUGUCCAUCAUAUGUCCAUGCAAUACGUUGCAGAGAUAGUGGGAAUUUGGAGGAAUUUGAUGUGUUGCUGGGUAAUUUAUCUUAUUAAGUCAUCAUUGUUGAGUUCUUCCAUGAGAGUCAUCUGGAAUCCAGACAUGCAGUGACUUAAGUGACAAUCCAAACCACCAGAAUCCAGAUGUCUUCUCUAUGAUCAAACACAGCUCCUUCCAGAGAGAAAGGGAAAAUAUCGCAAAACAUCUAGAUGCCGUCGAAGGAUUUUCAUCUAAUAAAAAAAAUGUAAAAUUGAAUUUGUAUUUUGCA
rnacentral:lncRNA from 1 species